rnacentral:tRNA from 1 species
UGGCUCUGUAGCAGAAUCAGGUAUAUGCGCCGGUCUCAAACACCGGGUCAAUGUGGGUUCGAGUCCCAUCAGGGCUACAUG